ACGUCAGCAGCAUCAGGCUAGAGAGGAGCAGCAGCCAGAGAUCCGGCUAAGGCCUGAGGCAGCGGACCUUGGUGGAGAGGGAUUGCAAGGGUUCCGGCUAAGGCAGAUCUGCCUUCAUGAUGUCUCAGGGGCAGCAGGCCCUCUGUCCUGAGUGUGUGAGAGGCCUGGAUCCGGAAGGGCAUUGACCUUGCCCUGGACUCGUUCCUGGAGAAGAAAACAGGAUGGGGCUGGAUAGGGUCCAUCCUGGGACCCAAUGAUGCAUGCCAGGCUCACUGCUGUGCCGGGUGACCUCCCAGCCACACUCCCUCCAACCUCCUGCAUCCCGAAGAUGCUGCAGUCUAGGGCCUGGACUCUGGGAGAAUGGUUAGGAGCCUUGUCCUGCCCCCAGCAUGUGCCAGCAGACGCUGAGGAACUCCGGAUUGCAGUUUCUGACUCACUCUGUGGAGACCAUGAUUCUUCCUCGAGAUCAAUCUCCAAUCCAAUUUUGGAAACACAGCGGGACGAAUAGUAAGGAUCAAAAGACACUUGCUGAUGGAAGGUGGAGCAUGACUGGAGGAAGUGGAUCACUGGGCAUCAUGGGCCUCUAUUUCCUGUUUGCUCUCGGCUUGCUGAUGGCGGCCAGUGUGACCGGCUACCUCACGCUUCUGCUGCCUUGAUGGAGUGUAUUCCUCCUCCAACCUGGGGCCAAAUGUGUAUGUGGAGCUGACAGGUGCAAGUACCUGCAGAAGCCAGAAGAGGGUGUUGGAUCCCCUGGAACUGUGAGCUGCCUGAUGUGGGUGCUGGGACCAGACCUCAGGUCCUCUGGAAGAGAAGCCAAGAGCUCCUAAUAGCUCAGCCAUCUCUUCAUCACACCCCCUCCGCAACCUUGCAAGCUGUGGGUUUUUAAUGGAGGUGUUGACAGGAGAGAGAACACUUCCAGAGGGUGAGUCUCAAAUGCCUAUUGAGCACAACACUCCACAGCCCAGACUAAAAGUAGGGGCAACGUAGUAGGGGGUCAGGCUUUCUGUUGCCCCAUCCAAGGCAGAGCAGGGCUCACUACCUUAAGAGAGCAGCGUGGAUUGCAGAAGUAGGCACACCAUGGGUGCUCAGCAAAGAGUGCACCAGAAGCCUGUAGGGGACAUUUCAAGUUCAAAUCAGCACAAGGAGUAACAUUUGAUUUACCUGAGCACAAGCAAUGUUAGUGUGGUCAGAACCCCUGUGGGUGUGGUGGUGUGUGAACAUAGGUGUGUGUGCACAUGGAGACCCAAGAUUGAUGGUAGAAUCAUCCUCAAUAGCUCACUCAUUCAUUCACUCACAGAGAUAGGGUCUCUCAAUCAAACCCAGAGUUCAUGGAUAUAGGUAGUCUUGCUGGCCAACUUGCUCUGGCACUCCCGUCUCCACCUUCCAAGGCUACCACACCCACCCAGAAUUUUAUGUGGGUUCUGGGGAUUCGAACUCUGGUUCUCACACUUGCUUAGCAAUCGUUUUAACCAUUGAGCAAUCUUCCCAGCCCUUUACCAUUCUUUGAGAAGACAAUUUUGAAGAAUGAGCACCUACUCUGUACCACUGUCAUAAAAAAAAAAAAAAAAAAAAAAAAAAACAAUGUUGUCUGGGUCAUCAGUGCACAGUAUGGCUUUCUAUAUUUUUCGCAAAUAUGCAAAGGAAGAAGCCAAGACCCUGAGAAUUAAGGGGACAUGUCCAAGGUCACACAGCCAGAAAACGAGAGAACUUAGUUCUACUUAUUUUCUAGACCCAAUGUCUCCAACCCUCAAGCCCUGGGACCCUGCUGGGCAUGGAGGGAUCCCCAGGCAGAGGGUGGGGUGUGGGACUGUGCCUCUACCAUUAGACUCACUGAUAGGUGUUUCAUCCUCCCUUUGCUUUUAGGGGGUCCUUGUUCAGGGUUCAAAUCCUUCAGCUCUGCACUGGGUAACAGGGGAGAGAGGCCCUGCAUAGGCUGCCUCGGGGGACCUGGGUUCACGCCAGGCACCAGUAGCUUCCUGGGCAUCUCUCAGAGACUCCACAGCAGCGGACAGCCUGCUAAUUAGGACAUGCUCUUUAUGACUUUGUAUU